rnacentral:lncRNA from 1 species
GGAAGAGACUGAUUGUUAUGAAGAAGAAAAGGAGGAACCAAUUCAUACAGCUUUAUCUGAGAGUGCGAGACAGGAGUGACCCACUGCUUGUUCCGAUCCUCCUUCAGAUAUCUGAUUGAUGUAACAGCAGGUGACAGUAUGGAAACGUAUUUUCUUUUCUCUCUCCACGCUGUAUUGUACUGUGCUACGUGGUUGCUAUGCUGCUAUGUUUGGGAAACAGGAUACAGGUGAGAUUCCACAAGCUGCUAAACCGAAGUGCUGUGUGACAAACCUUCCAACCAGAGAGAGAGUAUCUGAUAAACGGAGGGACGCCUGGAGGGUUAUUCGGGAAACUGCUGUGAUGUUCAUGUGUUUAUUUCUACACAAAUAUUUCUGAAAAUAGGCUUGCCAUAAGAAGUGAUUUGAUAACACAUUGUCUUUUUUAUACAAAACGUGUUAAAUGAUGUAUGAAGAUGGAUGUAUUUAGAAAUUUUCAGUGCAAGAAAAUACUUGCAGGCCAAU